GACGAACGCUGGCGGCGUGCUUAACACAUGCAAGUCGAGCGGUAAGGCCCUUUCGGGGGUACACGAGCGGCGAACGGGUGAGUAACACGUGGGUGACCUGCCCUCAGCUCUGGGAUAAGCCUGGGAAACCGGGUCUAAUACCGGAUAUGACUCCAUGACGCAUGUUGUGGGGUGGAAAGCCUUGUGCGGCUGAGGAUGGGCCCGCGGCCUAUCAGCUUGUUGGUGGGGUGANGGCCUACCAAGGCGACGACGGGUAGCCGGCCUGAGAGGGCGACCGGCCACACUGGGACUGAGACACGGCCCAGACUCCUACGGGAGGCAGCAGUGGGGAAUCUUGGACAAUGGGCGCAAGCCUGAUCCAGCCAUGCCGCGUGAGUGAAGAAGG
rnacentral:rRNA from 1 species